rnacentral:rRNA from 1 species
UAGGGAAUCUUCCACAAUGGACGCAAGUCUGAUGGAGCAACGCCGCGUGAGUGAAGAAGGUUUUCGGAUCGUAAAGCUCUGUUGUAAGAGAAGAACGUGUGUGAGAGUGGAAAGUUCACACAGUGACGGUAACUUACCAGAAAGGGACGGCUAACUACGUACCAG